rnacentral:rRNA from 1 species
UAGGGAAUCUUCCGCAAUGGACGCAAGUCUGACGGAGCAACGCCGCGUGAGUGAAGUAGGAUUUCGGUUCGUAAAACUCUGUUGUUAGAGAAGAACAGCGCAUAGAGUAACUGUUAUGCGUGUGACGGUAUCUAACCAGAAAGCCACGGCUAACUACGUGCCAGCAGCCGCGGUAAUACGUAGGUGGCAAGCGUUGUCCGGAUUUAUUGGGCGUAAAGCGAGCGCAGGCGGUCAAUUAAGUCUGAUGUGAAAGCCCCCGGCUCAACCGGGGAGGGUCAUUGGAAACUGGUUGACUUGAGUGCAGAAGAGGAGAGUGGAAUUCCAUGUGUAGCGGUGAAAUGCGUAGAUAUAUGGAGGAACGCCAGUGGCGAAGGCGACUCUCUGGUCUGUAACUGACGCUGAGGCUCGAAAGCGUGGGUAGCAAACAGG